rnacentral:rRNA from 1 species
UACGGAGGGUGCAAGCGUUAUCCGGAUUUACUGGGUUUAAAGGGUGUGUAGGCGGACUUUUAAGUCAGGGGUGAAAUCCCGAGGCUCAACCUCGGAACUGCCUUUGAUACUAUUGGUCUUGAAUGUUGUUGAGGUGGGCGGAACGGGUCAUGUAGCGGUGAAAUGCAUAGAUAUGACAUAGAACACCAAUUGCGAAGGCAGCUCACUACCCAGAUAUUGACACUGAGGCACGAAAGCGUGGGGAUCAAACAGG